GAUGAACGCUGGCGGCGUGCCUAAUACAUGCAAGUCGAGCGAACAGACGAGGAGCUUGCUCCUCUGACGUUAGCGGCGGACGGGUGAGUAACACGUGGAUAACCUACCUAUAAGACUGGGAUAACUUCGGGAAACCGGAGCUAAUACCGGAUAAUAUAUUGAACCGCAUGGUUCAAUAGUGAAAGACGGUUUUGCUGUCACUUAUAGAUGGAUCCGCGCCGCAUUAGCUAGUUGGUAAUGUAACGGCUUACCAAGGCGACGAUGCGUAGCCGACCUGAGAGGGUGAUCGGCCACACUGGAACGGAGACAAGGUCCAGACUCCUACGGGAAGCAGCAGGAGGGAAUCUUCCGCAAUGGGCGAAAGCCUGACGGAGCAACGGCGCGGGAGUGAUGAAGGUCUUCGGAUCGUAAAACUCUGUUAUUAGGGAAGAACAAAUGUGUAAGUAACUAUGCACGUCUUGACGGUACCUAAUCAGAAAGCCACGGCUAACUACGUG
rnacentral:rRNA from 1 species